UCCUACGGGAGGCAGCAGUGGGGAAUAUUGCACAAUGGGCGCAAGCCUGAUGCAGCAACGCCGCGUGAGUGAAGAAGGCCUUCGGGUCGUAAAGCUCUGUCCUUUGGGACGAAUAAAGUGACGGUACCAGAGGAGGAAGCCCCGGCUAACUACGUGCCAGCAGCCGCGGUAAUACGUAGGGGGCAAGCGUUAUCCGGAAUCACUGGGCGUAAAGGGUGCGUAGGCGGUUUUUCAAGUCAGAAGUGAAAGGCAGUGGCUUAACCAUUGUAAGCUUUUGAAACUGAAGAACUUGAGUGCAGGAGAGGUAAGUGGAAUUCCUAGUGUAGCGGUGAAAUGCGUAGAUAUUAGGAGGAACACCAGUGGCGAAGGCGACUUACUGGACUGUAACUGACGCUGAGGCACGAAAGCGUGGGGAGCGAACAGGAUUAGAUACCCUAGUAGUCA
rnacentral:rRNA from 1 species